GCCCGACUAGCUCAUCGGUAGAGCGCCUCACUAGUAUUGCUAUUUCGCAGUGAAGCCUUGGAUUCCUGCUUGUGGGGUACUGUUAUGAGGAGGCAACAGGUUCGAUUCCUGUGUUGGGCA